rnacentral:rRNA from 1 species
CCAAUAGCGUAUAUUAAAGUUGUUGCAGUUAAAAAGCUCGUAGUUGAAUUUCGGGAUUGGCGCAUCGGUCGUGCCUCACGGGGUAUGAACUGGUGCAGUCAAUUUCUCACCUUCUGGAGAACCGCGAUGUCCUUAAUUGGGUGCCGCGGGGAACCAGGACCUUUACUUUGAAAAAAUUAGAGUGUUUAAAGCAGGCAUUUUUGCUUGAAUACAUUAGCAUGGAAUAAUAAAAUAAGACGGCAUGGUUCUAUUUUGUUGGUUUCUAGGACCACCGUAAUGAUUAAUAGGGAUAGUUGGGGGCAUUAGUAUUCAAUUGUCAGAGGUGAAAUUCUUGGAUUUAUUGAAGACUAACUACUGCGAAAGCAUUUGCCAAGGAUGUUCUCAUUAAUCAAGAACGAAAGUUAGGGGAUCGAAGACGAUCAGAUACCGUCGUAGUCUUAACCAUAAACUAUGCCGACUAGGAAUCAGACGAUGUUAAUUUUUUAAUGACUCGUUUGGCACCUUACG